GGCGGACGGGUGGAGUAACGCGUAAAGAACUUGCCCUUUAGACUGGGAUAACAGAGGGAAACUUCUGAUAAUACUGGAUAAGUUAGUAUAUCGCAUGAUAUGCAAAUGAAAGCUACGGCACUAAAGGAGAGCUUUGCGUCCUAUUAGCUAGUUGGUAAGGUAAGAGCUUACCAAGGCGAUGAUAGGUAGCCGGCCUGGGAGGGUGGACGGCCACAAGGGGACUGAGAUACGGCCCUUACUCCUACGGGAGGCAGCAGGG
rnacentral:rRNA from 1 species